UAAACCACAAUCAAUUUUUUAUAAAAAAGCUGUAAUAUACUAAAAGUAUUUAUUUGUUUGAACGUGCACAAUCUAACUGCGCAUGUAUUGAGUUUGCGCGCUUUGAAACUUCAUACAGGGAACUAUUAGACCCCCAUCUACCUCCCAUAUUUUCCUUAAUGCUGAACUCCGGGGUUAGCAAUCUAAAGCCCACCCUUAU